rnacentral:lncRNA from 1 species
CAACAAGAAUAGACCAGCAGCGGGGGGGAGUUAGGGAGGGCCCAGGGAACAAAAUGACAAAACAGAGCUUUCCCACAUUUUCUACAUCGUGGCACACCAAUACAUCAUCGUCACCAGCGGAAGUGGGAGGCUCUUCAUAGAUUGAAAAGGGAAACUUCUUCCUGUGAGCAGUCCGUUCAUUUCUCUCCCAGACACAAGGCUGAAAUUUUAGUAUUACAGGAAUUUAAUCAGAUGCUCUCUCUCAGUUACUCAUGUUGGAAUUAGUGACCAGCUUAAACCCCAACGGCUUUUUCACAUUAACUGAUGUCAAGCCAGGGGGUCUUCUAGGAUGCCAGCCAAAUGGACAACGCCAGAGUGAAGACCCAGGAGAUGAAAUCGGAUCAAGUGGGAAGAGUAGCAUAAGGAAUCUAAAGUGGAACAAGGGACGAUUCCUCAGCACUGCAAGACUGCCUCACAAGCUUGGGUCAAGAGAAAGCCCUCAGGCAGAGAACUGCAGAUACCUAGAGUAGCACAAUGCUGGCAGUUCCUGGAAUGUUCUGGAGGCUCAACGUCCAAGAUCAAGGUUCCAGCUGAUUCCAUUUCUGCUGAGAACUCUCUCCCUGGCUUACAGACAGCCACCUGCUCUCUAUGUCCUCACAUGACUUUCCCAUGCCAGCCACCAUGUCUUGAGGACACUCAAGCAUCCCUGGGAGAGGACCAUGUGGAGUAGAACUCAGACUUCCCACCAACAGCACUAAUCUGUCGGACGUGUGAAUGAACCAUCCUGAAAGUGGAAUCUCCAGCCCCAAUACAGACUUCAGACGACUGUAGCCCCAGCUGAAGUCUGGACUCCAACCUCAUGUGAAAUCCUUAGUCAGAAGCACCCAGCUAAGCUGGUCCUGACUUUCUGGUCUACAGGAAUGGUUAGACCACCAUUGUGGAAGUGAGCCAGCAUCAGCCAUGUGGAUACUCAAGAUUACAGGGCAAUAAUACGGAAAGCACCACUGUCUCUGAAUGUCCCUGUAGAACAGAGCCACCCUACCAGCCCAAGAUAACUCAUUCUAGACUUUCUUGGGAGAUAAAUAAACUUUUAUUUACUUAAGCCCC